rnacentral:rRNA from 1 species
AUUGAACGCUGGCGGCAUGCCUUACACAUGCAAGUCGAACGGCAGCACGGGGGCAACCCUGGUGGCGAGUGGCGAACGGGUGAGUAACAUAUCGGAACAUACCCUAGAGUGGGGAUAACGUAGCGAAAGUUACGCUAAUACCGCAUACGAUCUAAGGAUGAAAGUGGGGGAUCUUCGGACCUCAUGCUCAUGGAUGGCCGAUAUCUGAUUAGCUAGUUGGUGAGGUAAAGGCUCACCAAGGCGACGAUCAGUAGCUGGUUUGAGAGAACGACCAGCCACACUGGAACUGAGACACGGUCCAGACUCCUACGGGAGGCGAG